CGCGUGGGAAUCUGCCUACUAGCGGGGGAUAGCCCGGAGAAAUCCGGAUUAAUACCGCAUACGCCCUUCGGGGAAAGGCUGGGAGUCUUCGGACCUGGCACUAGUAGAUGAGCCCGCGUUAGAUUAGCUUGUUGGUGGGGUAAUGGCCUACCAAGGCGACGAUCUAUAGCUGGUCUGAGAGGACGAUCAGCCACAUUGGGACUGAGACACGGCCCAGACUCCUACGGGAGGCAGCAGUGGGGAAUAUUGCACAAUGGGCGAAAGCCUGAUGCAGCAAUACCGCGUGUGUGAAGAAGGCCU
rnacentral:rRNA from 1 species